GGAAAUGUGGGGUUCCAGAGGCAGAGCUCAGAUAGAAUCCACAGGAUGUGGUUCUGCCACAGUUCAGGGAAGAACUGAUUUACAGAAGAGGUAUGCGGAGACAAGAGUUUGAAGCAAGGAGCUGGUGCCCUCCCCUGGCAAAUUAUCGAUCGAAUGAAUCAUCGGUAAGAGACAAAGUUCAUUGCGUUCUCAGGACGGAAGAUGCCUGUCGCUGAGAAACAACAUCAGGAGGUGCUUGUUGUUAUGCCUCUUCACAUCUGCUGAUUGAUUUAUGGGAUGUUCCGGUGGUAGAUGGCUACAACAGUGUCUCCCACUCCGUGAGGUUUUCCUGUAGUCAACCUUUUGAGUAGACCCCUCCCACGCUGGUGUUUGGUAUGGCCGUGUGACUUGCUUUGACCAAUGGACAUUGGGAGGAACUGCUUCUGGCAAGAACUGCACUUCCUCGCCGUCCCAGGAGCUUCCCACGUUCCGCGCCCUGAUUGCAAUCUCUCUAUCGACCUCAAACUGGGCCCGCUCAGAGGCAGAUUGUGUCUGAGUGGGGAGAUAAAAUCAGCUGGCUUGACUUUUUCUGAGCUUUUGUAG
rnacentral:lncRNA from 1 species